rnacentral:rRNA from 1 species
GACGAACGCUGGCGGCGUGCCUAAUACAUGCAAGUCGAACGCAGUGGGGACGGGUGAGUAACACGUGGGUAACCUCCCAUCAGAGGGGAUAACACUUGGAAACAGGUGCUAAACCGAUACUGAUGGAUGGACCCGCGGUGCAUUAGCUAGGUGGUGAGGUAACGGCUCACCAAGGCCACGAUGCAUAGCCGACCUGGGAGGGUGCACGGCCAAACCGGGACGUGGACACGGCCCAGACUCCUACGGGGGGGAGCAGUAGGGAAUUUUCGGCAAUGGACGAAAGUCUGACCGAGCAACGCCGCGUGAUUGAAGAAGGUUUUCGGAUCGUAAAACUCUGUUGUUAGAGAAGCGGUAUCUAACCAGAAAGCCACGGCUAACUACGUGCCAGCCGCCGCGGUAAUUAC